UCCGUAGGUGGAUAAAUAAGUCAGAGGUGAAAUCCUGCAGCUCAACUGUAGAACUGCCUUUGAUACUGUUUAUCUUGAGUCAUUAUGAAGUGGUUAGAAUGUGUAGUGUAGCGGUGAAAUGCAUAGAUAUUACACAGAAUACCGAUUGCGAAGGCAGAUCACUAAUAAUGUACUGACACUGAGGGACGAAAGCGUGGGGAGCGAACAAGAUUAGAUACCCUGGUAGUCC
rnacentral:rRNA from 1 species